rnacentral:tRNA from 1 species
UCCUCAGUAGUAUAGUGGUGAGUAUCCCAGCCUGUCACGUGGGAGACCAGGGUUUGGAUUCCCCAACAGGGAGGCA